rnacentral:snRNA from 1 species
AGAUGUGAGGGUGAUCUGAUCACCAGGGUUGAUUCAGCUGAUCUGGCUGGCUAGGCAGGUGUUCCCUUCCUCCCUCACCACUCCAUGUGCAUCCCUCCCAAAGCUGCUUGCUCAGUCAAAGAGGACAAGCUUCCCUGAAGAGGAGGACCAGACUUCGGUCAAGGGUAUAUGAGUAGCUGGGUUCCCCUGCUAGAACCUCCAAACAAGCUCUCAAGAAUGUGGCCUGGGUUAAAUGCAACUAAAAAGUCUCAGAUGAAGAGAAUUUGUCACAAAACAUCAGACAAAUCAACAAU